rnacentral:rRNA from 1 species
GUUAAUAGCUGCAUUAUUUGACGUUAGCGACAGAAGAAGCACCGGCUAAUUCCGUGCCAGCAGCCGCGGUAAUACGGAGGGUGCGAGCGUUAAUCGGAAUUACUGGGCGUAAAGCGCAUGCAGGUGGUUUGUUAAGUCAGAUGUGAAAGCCCGGGGCUCAACCUUGGAAUUGCAUUUGAAACUGGCAGACUAGAGUACUGUAGAGGGGGGUAGAAUUUCAGGUGUAGCGGUGAAAUGCGUAGAGAUCUGAAGGAAUACCGGUGGCGAAGGCGGCCCCCUGGACAGAUACUGACACUCAGAUGCGAAAGCGUGGGGAGCAAACAGGAUUAGAUACCCUGGUAGUCCACGCCGUAAACGAUGUCUACUUGGAGGUUGUGGCCUUGAGCCGUGGCUUUCGGAGCUAACGCGUUAAGUAGACCGCCUGGGGAGUACGGUCGCAAGAUUAAAACUCAAAUGAAUUGACGGGGGCCCGCACAAGCGGUGGAGCAUGUGGUUUAAUUCGAUGCAACGCGAAGAACCUUACCUACUCUUGACAUCCAGAGAACUUUCCAGAGAUGGAUUGGUGCCUUCGGGAACUCUGAGACAGGUGCUGCAUGGCUGUCGUCAGCUCGUGUUGUGAAAUGUUGGGUUAAGU